GGCAGUUUGUAAAGCCAAAGGGAGGGAAAGCCUGGGGGGUCCGAGUCCUCCAGGUCAUUAUACGGGUAACAGGAUGGACCUAAACCUUGGACCGUGGCGCGGACUUGAGCUCAGCAACCGCUACGGAAGGAAAGAUGCUGUGGUGAGAACCAGAGCAAGAAACAAGGGAGCCCAGGAUUGGAGAGCCCAGGCCGGAUGCCAGGGAUGAGAGG